rnacentral:rRNA from 1 species
GAUGAACGCUGGCGGCGUGCCUAAUACAUGCAAGUCGAGCGAACGGACGAGAAGCUUGCUUUUCUGAUGUUAGCGGCGGACGGGUGAGUAACACGUGGAUAACCUACCUAUAAGACUGGGAUAACUUCGGGAAACCGGAGCUAAUACCGGAUAAUAUUUUGAACCGCAUGGUUCAAAAGUGAAAGACGGUCUUGCUGUCACUUAUAGAUGGAUCCGCGCUGCAUUAGCUAGUUGGUAAGGUAACGGCUUACCAAGGCAACGAUGCAUAGCCGACCUGAGAGGGUGAUCGGCCAAACUGGAACUGAGACACGGUCCAGACUCCUAAGGGAGGCAGCAGUAGGGAAUCUUCCGCAAUGGGCGAAAGCCUGACGGAGCAACGCCGCGUGAGUGAUGAAGGUCUUCGGAUCGUAAAACUCUGUUAUUAGGGAAGAACAUAUGUGUAAGUAACUGUGCACAUCUUGACGGUACCUAAUCAGAAAGCCACGGCUAACUACGUG